GACGAACGCUGGCGGCGUGCUUAACACAUGCAAGUCGUACGGUAAGGCCCUUUCGGGGGUCCACGAGUGGCGAACGGGUGAGUAACACGUGAGUAACCUGCCCACAACUUUGGGAUAACGCUAGGAGACUGGUGCUAAUACUGGAUAUGUGCUCCUGCUGCAUGGUUGGGGUUGGAAAGCUCCGGCGGUUGUGGAUGGACUCGCGGCCUAUCAGCUUGUUGGUGGGGUAGUGGCCUACCAAGGCGGCGACGGGUAGCCGGCCUGAGAGGGUGACCGGCCACAUUGGGACUGAGAUACGGCCCAGACUCCUACGGGAGGCAGCAGUGGGGAAUAUUGCACAAUGGGCGCAAGCCUGAUGCAGCAACGCCGCGUGCGGGAUGACGGCCUUCGGGUUGUAAACCGCUUUCAGCAGGGACGAAGCUUUUUGUGACGGUACCUGCAGAAGAAGCACCGGCUAACUACGUG
rnacentral:rRNA from 1 species